AGGAUGAACGCUGGCGGCGUGCCUAAUACAUGCAAGUCGAGCGGCAGCGCGGUCUUCGGACUGGCGGCGAGCGGCGGACGGCUGAGUAACACGUAGGAACGUACCCCAAAGUGAGGCAUAAGCACCAGAAAUGGUGUCUAAUACCACAUGUGCUCUAAGGAGUAAAGCUUCGGUGCUUUGGGAACGGCCUGCGCAUGAUUAGCUUGUUGGUGAGGUAAUGGCUCACCAAGGCGACGAUCAUUAGCUGGUCUGAGAGGAUGAUCAGCCAGACUGGGACUGAGAACGGCCCAGACUCCUACGGGAGGCAGCAGUAGGGAAUUUUCCACAAUGGGCGAAAGCCUGAUGGAGCAACGCCGCGUGCAGGAUGAAGGCCUUCGGGUCGUAAACUGCUUUUAUAUGUGAAGAAUAUGACGGUAGCAUAUGAAUAAGGAUCGGCUAACUCCGUGCCAGCAGCCGCGGUAA
rnacentral:rRNA from 1 species